rnacentral:rRNA from 1 species
UACGUAGGGACCAAGCGUUGUUCGGAUUUACUGGGCGUAAAGGGCGCGUAGGCGGCGCGGUAAGUCACUUGUGAAAUCUCUGAGCUUAACUCAGAACGGCCAAGUGAUACUGCAGUGCUAGAGUGUGGAAGGGGCAAUCGGAAUUCUUGGUGUAGCGGUGAAAUGCGUAGAUAUCAAGAGGAACACCGGUGGCGAAGGCGGCUCUCUGGAACAAUCCUGACGCUGAGGUGCGAAAGCUAGGGGAGCAAACGGG